AACGAACGCUGGCGGCAGGCUUAACACAUGCAAGUCGAACGGGCCCUUCGGGGUCAGUGGCAGACGGGUGAGUAACACGUGGGAACGUGCCCUUCAGUUCGGAAUAACCCAGGGAAACUUGGGCUAAGAACGGAUACGCCCAUUGGGGGACAGAUUUAUCGCUGAAGGAUCGGCCCGCGUCGUAUUAGCUAGUUGGUGAGGUAAAGGCUCACCAAGGCGACGAUCAGUAGCUGGUCUGAGAGGAGGAUCAGCCACACUGGGACUGAGACACGGCCCAGACUCCUACGGGAGGCAGCAGUGGGGAAUAUUGGACAAUGGGCGCAAGCCUGAUCCAGCCAUGCCGCGUGAGUGAUGAAGGCCUUAGGGUUGUAAAGCUCUUUCGUCCGGGACGAUAAUGACGGUACCGGAAGAAGAAGCCCCGGCUAACUUCGUGCCAGCCGCCGCCGUAAAAC
rnacentral:rRNA from 1 species